GCAUUGGUGGAUCAAUGGUAGAAUUCUUGCCUUCCAUCCAGGAAACCCAGGUUCAAUUCCCAGUCAAUGCA
rnacentral:tRNA from 1 species